GGUCUCACUGAUUCCUCCUUCCUGAUGAACCUUAAUGCCAUUAAUUUGGUGUUUUGGGGAAUUUGGACCGUUACUUUGAAAAAAUUAGAGUGUUUAAAGCAAGCUAACGCUUGAAUACAUUAGCAUGGAAUAAUGAAAUAGGACGUUCGAUCCUAUUUUGUUGGUUUCUAGGAUUGACGUAAUGAUUAUA
rnacentral:rRNA from 1 species